UACGAAGGGGGCUAGCGUUGUUCGGAUUUACUGGGCGUAAAGCGCACGUAGGCGGAUUUUUUAAGUCAGGGGUGAAAUCCCGGGGCUCAACCCCGGAACUGCCUUUGAUACUGGAAGUCUUGAGUAUGGUAGAGGUGAGUGGAAUUCCGAGUGUAGAGGUGAAAAUUCGUAGAUAUUCGGAGGAACACCAGUGGCGAAGGCGGCUCACUGGACCAUUACUGACGCUGAGGUGCGAAAGCGUGGGGAGCAAACAGG
rnacentral:rRNA from 1 species